AGCAUUAUUAUCGCCAUUCCUUAUCCGGCGGGCUGAGCUGCACCUGUUUACCCAAACCCGCCUCCGAGGCGGGUUUG
rnacentral:sRNA from 1 species